rnacentral:rRNA from 1 species
GACGAACGCUGGCGGCGUGCUUAACACAUGCAAGUCGAACGGUGAAGCCCCACCUGCCUGGUGUGAGUGAGGGGCAAAGGGGUGUGAAACACGAGUACAACGUGCCCCACACUGUGGUAUGAGCUCUGGAAGCGGCGUCUAAUACGAGACGACAUAUGACUCCGCGGGGGGAGGGUGGGGAAAUUUUUUCGGUUGGGGAUGGCCUCGCGGCUUAUCAGCUUGUUGGUGGGGUAAUGGCUCACCAAGGCGACGACGGGUAGCCGGCCUGAGAGGGCGACCGGCCACACUGGGACUGAGACACGGCCCAGACUCCUACGGGAGGCAGCAGUGGGGAAUAUUGCACAAUGGGCGCAAGCCUGAUGCAGCGACGCCGCGUGAGGGAUGACGGCCUUCGGGUUGUAAACCUCUUUCAGCAGGGAAGAAGCGAAAGUGACGGUACCUGCAGAAGAAGCACCGGCUAACUACGUG